rnacentral:rRNA from 1 species
CAGGCCUAACACAUGCAAGUCGAACGGAAACGAUACUAGCUUGCUAGUAGGCGUCGAGUGGCGGACGGGUGAGUAACGCGUAGGAAUCUGCCUGAUAGUGGGGGAUAGCCCGAAGAAAUUCGGAUUAAUACCGCAUAAUCUAUUCGUAGUAAAGUGGGGGACUUUCGAGCCUCACGCUAUCAGAUGAGCCUGCGUAAGAUUAGCUUGUUGGUAGGGUAAAAGCCUACCAAGGCGACGAUCUUUAGCUGGUCUGAGAGGAUGAUCAGCCACAUCGGGACUGAGACACGGCCCGAACUCCUACGGGAGGCAGCAGUGGGGAAUAUUGGACAAUGGGGGCAACCCUGAUCCAGCAAUACCGCGUGUGUGAAGAAGGCCUGAGGGUUGUAAAGCACUUUCAAUUGUGAAGAAAAGUUAGCGGUUAAUAACCGUUAGCCUUGACGUUAACUUUAGAAGAAGCACCGGCUAACUCCGUGCCAGCAGCCGCGGUAAUACGGAGGGUGCAAGCGUUAAUCGGAAUUACUGGGCGUAAAGCGUGCGUAGGCGGUUUAUUAAGUCAGAUGUGAAAGCCCGGGGCUUAACCUGGGAACUGCAUUUGAAACUGGUCAACUAGAGUAUGGUAGAGGAAAGUGGAAUUUCUGGUGUAGCGGUGAAAUGCGUAGAUAUCAGAAGGAACAUCAAUGGCGAAGGCAGCUUUCUGGACCAAUACUGACGCUGAGGUACGAAAGCGUGGGUAGCAAACAGGAUUAGAUACCCUGGUAGUCCACCGCCCGUAAAACGAUGAUAAAUAGUCCGUUGGUGGAGGAAAAACCCAUGAGUAACGAAGCUAACGCGUGAAGUAAACCGCCUGGGGAGUACGGCCGCAAAAUUAAAACUCAAAGGAAUUGACGGGGACCCGCACAAGCGGUGGAGCAUGUGGAUUAAUUCGAUGCAACGCGAAAAACCUUUACCUG